rnacentral:lncRNA from 1 species
CUCAAUAUCAUAGAGUAAGAGAAGAGAUAGCAGCUGCUGAAGUAGAAGUUGGUUACAUUCCAUCGAAGGCUAUGCAUGCAGAUCCAUUAACCAAAGGCUUAGGGGCAAAUGAUUUUAUGAGGCAUGUGCAUAGGAUGGGUUUACGGAGGUUGACAUAGUUAUUAUUACUUUGUCUAUUGCUUAUGAAAGAUAAAUCCAUGGAUAAGUUUGCAUGCUUUGAUUUAUUGUGAAUGAUACUGCGAGAGAGAUACAUACGAAUUCAGGCCUAAAAAUGGCAAAUGGGAGAAUGAUGAAAAUAUGGCCUAUCAAGGCCUAAAUUCCAGUAGUUUCUUAUUCAGUGGGAGCGAUUGAGAGAUUAAAAUCUUGACGUCUUGCAAAAUGGAGCCCAGAUUCUUUUACCUCG